rnacentral:rRNA from 1 species
GAUGAACGCUAGCGGCAGGCCUAACACAUGCAAGUCGAGGGGUAACUAGAGUGAUAGCAAUAUUACUUUGGCUAGACCGGCGCACGGGUGCGUAACACGUAUGCAACCUACCUUAUACUGGGGAAUAACUUCGAGAAAUCGGCGCUAAUACCCCAUAGCAUUGCGAAGAGGCAUCUCUUUGCAAUUAAAGCUCCGGCGGUAUAAGAUGGGCAUGCGUCCAAUUAGCUAGUUGGUGAGGUAACGGCUCACCAAGGCUACGAUUGGUAGGGGUUCUGAGAGGAUGAUCCCCCACACUGGGACUGAGACACGGACCAGACUCCUACGGGAGGCAGCAGUGAGGAAUAUUGCGCAAUGGACGAAAGUCUGACGCAGCCACGCCGCGUGCAGGAUGACGGCCCUAUGGGUUGUAAACUGCUUUUGUACGGGAAUAAACCCUUCUACGUGUAGGAGGCUGAAGGUACCGUAAGAAUAAGCACCGGCUAACUCCGUGCAGCCGCCGCCGUAAUAC